rnacentral:rRNA from 2 species
UACGAAGGGUGCAAGCGUUAUUCGGAAUUAUUGGGCGUAAAGGGUGCGCAGGCGGCAUGCUAAGUCAGCUGUUUAAUUUCUCGGCCUAACUGAGAGUCAGCAGCAGAUACUGGUGUGCUAGAGGGUGGAAGAGAGAAGUGGAAUUCUCGGAGUAGCGGUAAAAUGCGUAGAUCUCGAGAGGAACACCAAUGGCGAAGGCAGCUUCUUGGUCCACACCUGACGCUCAUGCACGAAAGCGUGGGGAGCAAACAGG